rnacentral:lncRNA from 1 species
GACCGUACUGUUGAUCCGUAGAAUAAUACUGCGAGGGUUCCAGUACCUGAUAUUUUGAAGAUUCUAAGUAUGGAGCUACGGAGGGGAUUGACGGACCGUAGAUCGAUCUACGGUCCGUACUGUUGGUCCGUCGUUUGCUUCAGAGAAGCUGAUUUUUGGAAGCUGAAAUAUUUUCUAAGUCCUGACUGACGGAAGGGACUUACGGACCGUAGAUCCAUCGACGGUCCGUAAGUCAGUCUCGUGGAUUGAAGACGCGUACCUGAACAAAACUUUCCUUAAUUCGUU